rnacentral:rRNA from 1 species
AACGAACGCUGGCGGCAUGCCUAACACAUGCAAGUCGAACGAGACCUUCGGGUCUAGUGGCGCACGGGUGCGUAACGCGUGGGAAUCUGCCCUUGGGUUCGGGAUAACAGUUGGAAACGACUGCCAAUACCGGAUGAUGUCCUCGGACCAAAGAUUUAUCGCCCAAGGAUGAGCCCGCGUAGGAUUAGCUUGUUGGUGAGGUAAGAGCUCACCAAGGCGACGAUCCUUAGCUGGUCUGAGAGGAUGAUCAGCCACACUGGGACUGAGACACGGCCCAGACUCCUACGGGAGGCAGCAGUGGGGAAUAUUGGACAAUGGGCGAAAGCCUGAUCCAGCAAUGCCGCGUGAGUGAUGAAGGCCUUAGGGUUGUAAAGCUCUUUUACCCGGGAUGAUAAUGACAGUACCGGGAGAAUAAGCCCCGGCUAACUCCGUGCCAGCCGCCGCAGUAA